GCUGGGUGUGGUGGCUCACACCUGUAAUUCCAGCACUUUGGGAGGCUGAGGUGGGUGGAUCACCUGAGGUCAGGAGUUCGAGACCAGCCUGACCAACAUGGAGAAACCCCAUCUCUA
ensembl:misc_RNA Metazoa_SRP Metazoan signal recognition particle RNA